rnacentral:rRNA from 1 species
AUUGAACGCUGGCGGCAUGCCUUACACAUGCAAGUCGAACGGCAGCAUGGAGAGCUUGCUCUCUGAUGGCGAGUGGCGAACGGGUGAGUAAUGCAUCGGAACGUACCGUGUAAUGGGGGAUAACGUAGCGAAAGUUACGCUAAUACCGCAUACGACCUGAGGGUGAAAGCAGGGGAUCGCAAGACCUUGCGUUAUACGAGCGGCCGAUGUCAGAUUAGCUAGUUGGUGAGGUAAAGGCUCACCAAGGCGACGAUCUGUAGCGGGUCUGAGAGGAUGAGCCGCCACACUGGGACUGAGACACGGUCCAGGCUCCUACAGGAGGCAGCAGUGGGGAAUAUUGGACAAUGGGGGGAACCCUGAUCCAGCCAUGCCGCGUGUGUGAAGAAGGCCUUAUGGUUGUAAAGCACUUUAAGCGAGGAGGAGGCUACUGAGACUAAUACUCUUGGAUAGUGGACGUUACUCGCAGAAUAAGCGCCGGCUAACUCUGUGCCAGCCGCCGCCGUAACAC